CUAGGAGAUAACAUGGAGGAGGGGGGGAACCUAGGAGAUAACAUGGAGGAGGGGGGGGAACCUAGGAGAUAACAUGGAGGAGGGGGGAACCUAGGAGAUAACAUGGAGGAGGGGGGAACCUAGGAGAUAACAUGGAGAGGGAUGGGGGGAUAAAGUGCAUAUGUCAUACACAUUUUUGGCAAAGCUUUCAUGUACAGUACAAAUGUUUGUGUAUGCGAGGGAGAGAGAGUGUGUGUGUGUGUGUGUGUGUGUGUGUGUGUGUGUGUGUGUGUGUGUGUGUGUGUGCGUGAGCGUGUGCGCGUGCGCGUGCGCGUGCGUGUGUGUGUUUUAGGGGGGUAACUCUUUGAAGGACUCGUUCUGUUUUAUUAAAGGGGAGGUUUCAGAGACCUACAUCCUGUCAAUAUAUUAAAGGGGAGGUUUCAGAGACCUGUUAUCAUCAUUCUAAAGACUACAUCCUGUCAAUAUAUUAAAGGGG
rnacentral:lncRNA from 1 species